UACGUAGGGGGCUAGCGUUGUCCGGAAUCAUUGGGCGUAAAGAGCGUGUAGGCGGUCCGGUAAGUCCGCUGUGAAAGUCGGGGGCUCAACCUUCGAAUGCCGGUGGAUACUGUCGGGCUAGAGUGCGGAAGAGGCGAGUGGAAUUCCUGGUGUAGCGGUGAAAUGCGCAGAUAUUGGGAGGAACACCAGUGGCGAAGGCGGCUCGCUGGACCGGUUCUGACGCUGAUGCGCGAAAGCGUGGGGAGCAAACGGG
rnacentral:rRNA from 1 species